rnacentral:rRNA from 1 species
GAUGAACGCUGGCGGCGUGCCUAGUACAUGCAAGUCGAGCGAACGGACGAGAAGCUUGCUUCUCUGAUGUUAGCGGCGGACGGGUGAGUAACACGUGGAUAACCUACCUAUAAGACUGGGAUAACUUCGGGAAACCGGAGCUAAUACCGGAUAAUAUUUUGAACCGCAUGGUUCAAAAGUGAAAGACGGUCUUGCUGUCACUUAUAGAUGGAUCCGCGCUGCAUUAGCUAGUUGGUAAGGUAACGGCUUACCAAGGCAACGAUGCAUAGCCGACCUGAGAGGGUGAUAGGCCACCCUGGAACUGGGACACGGUCCAGACUCCUACGGGAGGCAGCAGUAGGGAAUCUUCCGCAAUGGGCGAAAGCCUGACGGAGCAACGCCGCGUGAGUGAUGAAGGUCUUCGGAUCGUAAAACUCUGUUAUUAGGGAAGAACAUAUGUGUAAGUAACUGUGCACAUCUUGACGGUACCUAAUCAGAAAGCCACGGCUAACUACGUG